CAUAUUUAUGUGCUAUUUUCUGAAGAUACGUCUCUUUUCCUAUUUUAAAACAAUAUGUAAAUAUGGCGUAAUCUAACACCAUAAAAAAAACUUGCACCAUUUAAUUACUAACAUCACUUAUGUUAAUCAACCGAAGAAGGGGUUGGAAUCUAAAAUUAUAGACUAUUUGUUUUCUCUAAACAAAUGUGCGUACACACUACCCAACUGCGCAAAACCCAUAAUUCAUCAAUGGCAAUAACACGCAAACAAUGUAUCCUCAAUGUACCCUUAACUUCAUCUACCAAAGGUUCUAAUUCAACCUUCAUUUACACCGGUGCUCUACUAAUUUUACGUAAAACAUAUGUUUUCUAGAAUAAUUGAGUGUAUCUUCAAAAAAAAAACAACCCAUAAUAUGACCAAAAACCACCAUUAAAUACGGAACAAAAAAUGCUAAUGUAUCAGACAUUUUAUCUUUUUUACAAAUUUACUUUAAACGAAAAACUAGCUUCUCUAUAACUUCACA
rnacentral:lncRNA from 1 species